CCCCAUCCAACCUGAUGGAGCUUUUAGAGGUGCUGCAAAGAGGAAUGAGCAAAACUGCCCAAAGAUAGGUGCACCAAGCUUGUGGCAUCAUAUUCAAGAAGACUUGAGGCUGUAAUUGCUGCCAAAGGAGCACCAACAAAGUACUGAGAAAAGGGUAUGAAUAAUUAUGUAGAUGUUAUUUCUU